GUAGGUGGCAAGCGUUGUCCGGAUUUACUGGGCGUAAAGAGCGCGCAGGCGGUCGUUCAAGUCGCGUGUGAAAGCCCCCGGCUCAACUGGGGAGGGUCACGCGAUACUGAUCGACUCGAAGGCAGGAGAGGGAAGUGGAAUUCCCGGUGUAGUGGUGAAAUGCGUAGAUAUCAGGAGGAACACCAGUGGCGAAGGCGACUCCCUGGCCUGUUCUUGACGCUGAGGCGCGAAAGCUAGGGGAGCAAACGGGAUUAGAUACCCCGGUAGUCCUAGCCGUAAACGAUGGACACUAGGUGUUGGUGGUAUCAACCCCGCCAGUGCCGAAGCUAACGCAUUAAGUGUCCCGCCUGGGGAGUACGGCCGCAAGGCUA
rnacentral:rRNA from 1 species